UAAGUUUUUUUUUGGGUGUGUGUUUGGUAAUGAAAUAAUAUUUGAGAAAAUAAGUAAUUUUAUUCUUGGAAUAAAUAAUUAAUCAAUAUUUUAGAACAAUGGGAAAUAAAAUAAAUUUUUGUGUCUGGUUUAAUAUUUUUUAUUUCCAAGAUAAUCAAAAGUAUGUUUGUUUUGUGUAAGGAAAGUACUAUAUCUGCACACCUCCCAUUUAAAGUGAUUACUGAAUAGUGAGCAUUCUGCUACGUGGCGAGAGAUCAAGUUAUAUAUAUUGAGUUACGUUCGAAAUGGCGGCAGGUCGGAUUGGACUGAGUCAUAUUUGAAGUGGUUGUAUAAUUUAAGUGAAUUGGUUAUAUAUUUUUACAGCUUAAAUUUUUAGUAUUAACAGUUAGCACCAACCAUCUGACACUCUUGAUUAGGAAU
rnacentral:lncRNA from 1 species